AAAGGAAAAAAGGUAAACUACUGAAUCAGUCCAAGGCUAACCUUAGGAUCUAGAACAAUCAAGAACUGCAAUAAGGAGCCCAAAUCAACCAAAUAAAUGUAAUUCAUACCUUAAAGUCUGAGAGAUAAGUAGAUAACCAUAUAGGUAUAUCUGAUGAACCAUUGUCUAAACCACCUAGUGAGCAAUUGGCCGAUCAAACCA
rnacentral:lncRNA from 1 species